GCAGGCUUACACAUGCAAGUCGAGCGGGGGAGAUUGCUUCGGUGAUUGACCUAGCGGCGGACGGGUGAGUAAUACUUAGGAAUCUGCCUAUUAAUGGGGGACAACAUCUCGAAAGGGAUGCUAAUACCGCAUACGCCCUACGGGGGAAAGCAGGGGAUCACUUGUGACCUUGCGUUAAUAGAUGAGCCUAAGUCGGAUUAGCUAGUUGGUGGGGUAAAGGCCUACCAAGGCGACGAUCUGUAGCGGGUCUGAGAGGAUGAUCCGCCACACUGGGACUGAGACACGGCCCAGACUCCUACGGGAGGCAGCAGUGGGGAAUAUUGGACAAUGGGGGGAACCCUGAUCCAGCCAUGCCGCGUGUGUGAAGAAGGCCUUAUGGUUGUAAAGCACUUUAAGCGAGGAGGAGGCUCUCUUGGUUAAUACCCAAGAUGAGUGGACGUUACUCGCAGAAUAAGCACCGGCUAACUCUGUGCCAGCAGCCGCGGUAAUACAGAGGGUGCGAGCGUUAAUCGGAUUUACUGGGCGUAAAGCGUGCGUAGGCGGCUUUUUAAGUCGGAUGUGAAAUCCCCGAGCUUAACUUGGGAAUUGCAUUCGAUACUGGGAAGCUAGAGUAUGGGAGAGGAUGGUAGAAUUCCAGGUGUAGCGGUGAAAUGCGUAGAGAUCUGGAGGAAUACCGAUGGCGAAGGCAGCCAUCUGGCCUAAUACUGACGCUGAGGUACGAAAGCAUGGGGAGCAAACAGGAUUAGAUACCCUGGUAGUCCAUGCCGUAAACGAUGUCUACUAGCCGUUGGGGCCUUUGAGGCUUUAGUGGCGCAGCUAACGCGAUAAGUAGACCGCCUGGGGAGUACGGUCGCAAGACUAAAACUCAAAUGAAUUGACGGGGGCCCGCACAAGCGGUGGAGCAUGUGGUUUAAUUCGAUGCAACGCGAAGAACCUUACCUGGUCUUGACAUAGUAAGAACUUUCCAGAGAUGGAUUGGUGCCCUUCGGGAA
rnacentral:rRNA from 1 species